rnacentral:lncRNA from 1 species
AGUGUUGAACUUAUGAUCCAUAUGAGGGAAGAUCUACAUGAUAUAUGAUAUUUUAUGGUUAGAUCUUGCCAUUUUUAGGGUUGAUAAGCUUGAACAAAGAAGAUGAACCAAAACAGUUUUUUUGUUUUAAAUGAAUUAAUGAACUGCUGCUCUAAACAGAAAUUUUCGGAUUUGUUAAGGUGCUCUAAAAAUUCUGGACUUGUGAUAUGUUAUAUUACACUCAAUAAGUUUUCCAUAGACUCCGAAACGGACUAAAUCCGACAUCGGAGGAGCAAGUUAUGGAAUUUUUACCAAACUACACAAAGUUGAGAAAAACUGUUAGAAGGACAGUUUGUAACAGCUACUUCCGGGCUAAAUUCCGGAAGCUUAACAUGUCCAAAUAUGGAUUGUGAUAGAUGAAAAUUGUAGAUCGGAAAGAUACGAAUCCAAUAAAAUUGACGGAUCAUUAAUCGGAGUUACAGAUUUCGUUUUAUAUAAGUUUUAGCAAAGGACUCCAAAACUAACAAAUGACAAAAAGUUGCUGCCCAAAUUUUUCCGGGGACUGUUUCGGACAUUUAUUUAAUGAGA